rnacentral:rRNA from 1 species
GAUGAACGCUAGCGGCAGGCCUAAUACAUGCAAGUCGAACGGUAAGUAUUUUAGCAAUAGAAUACGAGAGUGACGUACAGGUGCGUAACACGUAUGCAACCUACCCUUUACAGGAGGAUAGCUCGGGGAAACUCGAAUUAACCCUCCAUGAGAUCACAGUGUGGCAUCACACAGUGAUUAAAACUCCGGUGGUAAAGGAUGGGCAUGCGUCUGAUUAGUUAGUUGGCGGGGUAACGGCCCACCAAGACGAUGAUCAGUAGGGGAACUGAGAGGUUGAUCCCCCACACUGGCACUGAGAUACGGGCCAGACUCCUACGGGAGGCAGCAGUAGGGAAUAUUGGUCAAUGGAUGGAAGUCUGAACCAGCCAUGCCGCGUGCAGGAAGAAGGCCUUCUGGGUUGUAACCCGCUUUUGCCAGGGGAUAAAAAGACCAUGCGUGGUUAAUUGAAGGUACCUGGUGAAUAAGCCACGGCUAACUACGUGCCAGCAGCCGCGGUAAUACG